ACCAUAGAUACAUUUAUAUAAUAUAGUGUACAAUGUAUAGAAAAUUAGAAUGUAUUAAUAGGUAUAAUAUAAUCGAUGUGUGUGUACAGAGUCUCAAAAAGUCUCAGACUGAAAUUCGAAACAUGUGGAAAAUUGAAAAAAACUUUAUUUAAUAUAUUGAUCGUUCAAAGUAAUCUUUGCUGCUACAUCCUGCGCGGUUUGCGUUUUCAAUUUUUGCAUAACACAGGCAAAGUAAUUGGAAUUUUUCAAUUAUUGCUUCUUGGAUAUUUUCAAUUGUUUCAAAUCGAUCAUCUUUCAAAUUGAUUUUUAUUUUUGGAAAUAGAAAAUAGUCUGGCGGACUUUGAAUAUAUAUACUGGAGAAGGAAUUGCUUUGUUUCAUGUAGGUAGACCAAAAGUGUGUCCAAAAUCGGUGCGAGAGAGAAAGAUAUAGGGUGAUAUUCGUCCUCUCUGCGCAUGGGUCAAUAUCGUUAUCUGCACCGCAGUUUUAAUACUUCUUGUGCAUUUCUGUACUUAAUGUACGAAUUGUAUGUUGUGUGAAAACAUUGAAAGAAUAUUUUUAAUAAAAAUGUCCACUCAAUCGGUGAAAUACUCAAAAUCUGUGUAUAGCAUUUUAUGUGGCACAAUCGUGAGAAAUCGGUUUCUUAUGAUGCAUUUCCCAAGCAACAGAAAAUCCGACAACAAUGAGUAGCAUUCUGUGGAAUCAAUGAAGAUGUCCUUAAUUCGGCUAUUAGAUUAUGUUCAAACCAUUUUCAUGAAGACUUGAAGAACAAACGUAGGAAGGUUGUAAUAUUAACUUCUAAUGCGGUGCCUUCCAUUCGUAUGAAAAAGAAAGAAAAGUUUAAGCAAUCAAAAUCUGUUUUUAACAAAGUUCAUGAUAACAUAAUACAGAAAUAUAUUGCUACGGGCCAGGAAAACAUCCACUGCAAUGUAUCAGUUACAGAUACUCCAAGGAUAAUGAAUUCUGAAUGUGCUCUGGAUUACCAUUCAGUAUUUAAUAACAGCACAAUGGUAGAACAUAUAUUACAGCAAGAUAUAUUUAAUAACCAUAGAACAGAAAUUAAAUUAAUUAAAAGCAUUAUUACAAUUCAUAUAAAUUUACGUUUGUUCCAUGAGGCCAAGUGCGCUACAGAUUUAAUACGUGAAAAGUAUAUUAGACGUAAGUUUACAAAAUUAAUUCAUUUUAAUCACUAAUAAAAAUUAUUUUCUUAUAUAUUAAAUUGUAUAUAUUUAAAUUUAUUUAUCCCUUUACCAUCCUACUAAUAAUAAACUAAAAAUAAUGUGCUUUAUAUUUUAUAUUUAUAUAUAAUGCCAUUUAUAAUGUUCUGCUACUUAUUUCAGCUGAGAUAAACAUUAGUUGGAGUCCGUAAAGCGUAUAUAUGCGCAUUUUUUUAUAGUACAUUUAC